UGGGGACAGGGCCACAGGGCAGCACUCCCCUCUGCACAGCCUAUGGAGCGCUUGGGACUCAGCAACCCACAACAGCCUAUCCCUGGAACAUUUGACAUCUGCUUGUGGCUCAGCUCAAAACAGGGCAUCUACACUCAAUAAAAAGAUGGCAUCCAUGGAUAUUCACCGAUGCUUGCUGAAUGCUUAUGAAGACCAAACAAUGGAUGUGAGCAUAGUGAGGAGGAUACACCAGACAGCUCUUCUCUGAACACCAAGCCUCUGCUGCAUUCUAGAAGCACAUUUCCAGUUUCUCACCCAACGGCGACUCACCCUGUAUUUCCAAACAGACUUCACAAAUCUUUAGAUGCUGGAGUGGGCACUUUGACUGCAUUGAGGGUUCUCACAGAUGGUAGAGGAUACAGGUCUAGCUAGCUUUCAGUUAUGGACCCACAUGCUAAAACCACAACACUAUCUCUGUUGCCACAGUUAUACCUUUCCAAAUAAAAUUUUCAAAAGUCAUUAAAAGGCAAGAUCUUUUAUCUAUUUUAGGUCAAGAACUUAAGGUCUUAUAGCUCACUAGAAGCCAC